rnacentral:tRNA from 1 species
UUCUGGUUAGCUCUGUUGGUAGAGCGCUCCACUCUAAAUGGAGAGGUCCCGGCUUUGAUACACGGACCAGGCA